AAACCACAGGGUGAGGCGGAGAGGGGGAGAGUGCUCCACUCCACCCUCUAUUUAAACCUUCACAAACUGUCUUCUCUUGCUGAAUGAGCUCAUCUUUAAAUCCAGGUGCUAGCUUCAAGGACUCUGCUGUAACUUUUGAAAGAUCAUCCUGCUCUCUAACAAUGAGCUGCCCUAAAGAACUAACAGGCCUGGAAAUAGCAGUAGCUCAAAUGUUUGGGGUCUUCAUGGCAAAUGAAGAUGAAAAUUGAAAGCUGAGUAAAGAAGCCUUCCUAAAACUCUUGAAGGAUGAACUGCCAUCAUUUGAUCAGAAAAACAAUGGAGACGAGUUAUUCAAAGGUGUGGACCUGAAUGAUGAUGGAGCUGUGGACUUCGAAGAGUUUGCCAUGAUGGUUGCCAUGUUUGCCAGUGCAAGCCAUGACGCCCUCAUAAAGGCCCUCAAAGCCAUCAAAGAGAAAAACCAGUAACAAUAAAUGUGUAAAAAUGAUGCAAAAUCAUCUGACUUCCUUGAUUUCACAUAAAACCAUGUCUUUUUAUAGUAUAGUUAUAGUUUUCUUAAUCUUUAGAGCAAAUAAUCCUCAAAUUAAAUAACUGCCACUGCAUUUAGUUGAUUGAAGGGAAAUGUGUUCAAAACAGCAAGACCUAAAUGAAGUACUGUGUUAUAAAGGGACAACUCAGCCACCUGCUGUUGGAAUCCUGCAUCCAUCCUGACUUGUAAUAGCAAAGGAUCUAACAUAUCUCUAUAGACUUUUACUUAAGCCUUUAAAGAAUAUGUUGACAAAUUAAUAAUUAUCUGUAAGAAAGUAAGAAGCUUAUGUCCUGGUUAAGAGAUAAUGACCUACUUAAGAUGAUUAUAUAUUCGUGUUAAAGUCAGCAGAAGGAAAAAUACAAGAUAUCUACUAAUUUCAUUGUAACACAAAUGUAAAUUAAUUUGUCCCAAUAGCAAAAGACCAGAAGAAAAAGAAAUAAAACAUGUUUUUACUGCAUUUGCUUUUUAUCUUCAGGUGUACAAGGAAACAGGUUAAACUGGUAAACUGGUAUGAAGGUGAAUAAACAGGUCUGUAGGAUGUAGU